UGAGGAAUAUUGGUCAAUGGGCGAGAGCCUGAACCAGCCAAGUAGCGUGCAGGAUGACGGCCCUAUGGGUUGUAAACUGCUUUUAUAUGGGAAUAAAGUGAGGGACGUGUCCCUUAUUGCAUGUACCAUACGAAUAAGGACCGGCUAAUUCCGUGCCAGCAGCCGCGGUAAUACGGAAGGUCCAGGCGUUAUCCGGAUUUAUUGGGUUUAAAGGGAGCGUAGGCUGUUUGUUAAGCGUGUUGUGAAAUGUAAGAGCUCAACUUUUAGAUUGCAGCGCGAACUGGCAGACUUGAGUGCGCACAACGUAGGCGGAAUUCAUGGUGUAGCGGUGAAAUGCUUAGAUAUCAUGACGAACUCCGAUUGCGAAGGCAGCUUACGGGAGCGCAACUGACGCUAAGGCUCGAAGGUGCGGGUAUCGAACAGG
rnacentral:rRNA from 1 species